AUUGAACGCUGGCGGCAUGCCUUACACAUGCAAGUCGAACGGUAACAGGUCUUCGGAUGCUGACGGGUGGCGAACGGGUGAGUAAUACAUCGGAACGUGCCCGAUCGUGGGGGAUAACGGAGCGAAAGCUUUGCUAAUACCUCAUACGAACUACGUAUUAAAGCAGGGGACCGCAAGGCCUUGCGCGGACGGAGCGGCCGAUGGCAGAUUAGGUAGUUGGUGGGAUAAAAGCUUACCAAGCCGACGAUCUGUAGCUGGUCUGAGAGGACGACCAGCCACACUGGGACUGAGACACGGCCAAGACUCCUACGGGAGGCAGCAGUGGGGAAUUUUGGACAAUGGGCGAAAGCCUGAUCCAGCCAUGCCGCGUGCAGGAUGAAGGCCUUCGGGUUGUAAACUGCUUUUGUACGGAACGAAAAGACUCUUUCUAAUAAAGAGGGUCCAUGACGGUACCGUAAGAAUAAGCACCGGCUAACUACGUG
rnacentral:rRNA from 1 species